rnacentral:rRNA from 1 species
UUAAAUUGUUGUUUAAUUUUUAAUAAAUGUAAUUUUUAAUAAUUAAUUUUUAUUAAUUUAUUUAUUUGAUUAUAGUGUAAUAGUACUGUGAAGGAAUUAAUUAAAUUUGGUUAAAGAAAUUUUUAUAAAAAUUUACCUUUUGUAUCAGGGAUUAACAAAUAAUAAUAUUAUUAUUUAUUUCUCGAAUAUGAAAUUGAGCUAAUUAAAUUAUUUUUUAUUGUUGAAUAAAUAUAAUUUAGAUUUAAUUAGAUAUGAAAUGUUAUACGUAAUUUAAUAUAUCUAGUUGUUAUAUUUUUAAAAUUUAUUUUUAAUUUAUUUAAAGGGAUAAUUUUUUAAUUUAAUUAUAAAUUUAAUUAUUUUUAUUUAAAAUAUAUUGAUUUAAUAGUAUUAAUUAUUUAAAGUGUGUUUAUACUUAAUUAAUUUAAUUAUAUAUUUUAUAUUUUUAACUAUUAUAAUUAAUUUUUUUUUAUAAAAAAUAAUGUUAAUAUUAGUAUAUAUAUAAUGUAAUUAUUUAUUUUAAAAAUUUUAAAUUUAAAUAAAGGAAUUCAGCAAAAAGAUUUUUCGCCUGUAUAUCAAAAACAUGUUUUAAUGAAUAUUAAUAUUAAAUUUGCCCUGCCCAAUGAUUAAUGUUUUAAUGGCCGCAGUAAAUUGACUGUGCAAAGGUAGCAUAAUAAUUUGUCUUUUAAUUGAGGACUGGAAUGAAUGGGUGGACGUAAAAAUUUCUGUCUCUAUUUUUAUGUAAUUGAAUUUUACUUUUAAGUUAAAAGGCUAAUUUUAUAAUUAAAUAUUAUUAAGGGACGAAAAGACCCUAUCAAGUUUUAUAAUAUUUAAAUGGUUAUUUUCAUUAUUAAUUUUUAAUUAUUAUUUUUCUGGGGUGGAAUUAAUAUAAAACUAUUAAAAAUUUUAUAAUUUAAUAAUUUAUUAUUGAUCUUUUUUAUUACUAAUUAAUAAAUUACUGUAGGGGUAACAGCAUAAUUAUUUUGGUAAGUUCAAAUUUAUAAAAUAGAUUAUGACCUCGAUGUUGGAUUAAAUUUACCUAAAAAUAUUAAUGAAGAAGUUAUUAAGGUUAGUCUGUUCGACUAUUAAAAAUUUACAUGAUCUGAGUUCAGACCGGCGUGAGCCAGGUCAGUUUUUAUCUUUAAUAAUUAUAUUGAAAAUUUAUUUAGUACGAGAGGACCAAUAUUUAUUAAUUAUUA